rnacentral:tRNA from 1 species
UAGAUUAAAGUCCGCCGGUUUGGACAGCUAUCUGUUAAUUAGUGUUUGUGGGAUCGAGGCCCGCUAGUCUAG